rnacentral:rRNA from 1 species
UGGGGAAUAUUGGGCAAUGGGCGAAAGCCUGACCCAGCGACGCCGCGUGGGCGAUGAAGGCCUUCGGGUUGUAAAGCCCUGUCAUGCGGAAAGAACGACCCUGUGACGCAUACUCACAGGGAGUGACGGUACCGCAGGAGGAAGCACCGGCUAACUCCGUGCCAGCAGCCGCGGUAAUACGGCGGGUGCAAGCGUUGCUCGGAAUUAUUGGGCGUAAAGGGCGAGUAGGCGGUAAUGUAAGUCAGAUGUGAAAUACUUCGGCUGAACUGAAGAACUGCAUAUGAAAAUGCAGAACUAGAGUACAGAAGAGGGAAGCGGAAUUACCGGUGUAGAGGUGAAAUUCGUAGAUAUCGGGAGGAACACCAGUGGGGAAUGCGGUUGCCUGGUCUGAUACUGAGGCUGGGGCGCGAAAGUGUGGGGAGCAAACA